GAAAGAAGGAGUUAAAGUGAAGGCAGGCUCGCUGGUUUGCUGAGAUCUGUCAGAGGCUGACUGGCUGGCUACAUAUCUGUCUCUGGAACAAUAGGUUCAAUGCAGGCAGAUGAGUGUCACAGAUGUAACUGAGGCACUGAAUAAUCAACAUAUCGGAGCCAAUUCCCAGGACGGCAAGAGGGGGAACCGGCAGAGAUGACUGACCCUGGAGGACAAGAGCAUUCUUCUGACAAGUUUUAGCAUGGACUAUCCUCAGGAAAAUGAGAUCCAGGAAGAGUGACGCCCUCCUCGAACUGAAAGAUACUCAGGUUGAUGGAGUCAGGGACGAAGUGGCUUAUCAACAACACAGGAUGUCUGCAGGGAACAGAACUUAUUCAGACAUGGCCCAGAUUGUCUGCCCGUGGGGACUGAGGGACCUCUGAGGGUUACAUCAGGAAGGAAGGAGAGGCUGUUUCUACAGGUGCCACAGAAAAAUCGAUGCUGAGCCUCGGAUUAUUGGAUCCCAUAGAACCGUGGAGACUUGGCAGUGAAAUUCUUCCAAAGCAUUCCAUCUGCGCAGGCAGGCAGAGGUUUUCCUGGUUUGGGAAGUAUAAAUCCCGUGGGAAGUCAACUGGAGGACAUUUUACGCGUCACUCAUCCUAUUAUGAGCCUGCUGCUCCUCCGUCUCUUGACAAGCUGUCUGAGAUGCCAACACCACAGAGCACAAUAUCUUUGAGUUGGAAACAUGUCAUUUGCUUGCGUCUCGUCAUCCUUUGGGGUUUUUCUAGACUCCCUGCCUCUUCUGUUUCUCGUCGAUGCUUCCAUUGUAUUCCAGUUGGCAGCUAAAGGACAGGAGCAGCAAUAAGGCUUCCUGGCUACAUUUUCAUGGUGCCACCAACUGCGAGUUAAGCUGACAAACAUUUUGAGAGCUCGGCCCAUUUCAUUCCCAGCAGGAUGGCAGGAGUUAACUAAAACAGAAUAAACUAAAAAUUGUGCCUUCAUUGCACAUUUGCACUGAUUAUCAGCACUGAAAAUGGCUAAGUUCUGCUUAUCAAGGUUAUGCUUCACAUCACCCACCAGGGAGGAUCAUCUCUCAUGAAAACUUUCAAAUUUGAUUUUGAAAAUUUAUUCAGAAAAAUUUAAGCCACGCUCUUUCCCAACACAGGAAAUAAUAUGCUCCAGAGAAUCCUCUAAUUCACCGAAAAUGGACUUGGAUAACAUUUGGGUUCUCAUACUACCACAGUCCUCUUGAGAAGGACAGCCAGGCUUGGGUGGCAGUGGUGAGGAAGGUUCCUUUCUGUCAAGGGAGCUGAUGCCUUAAAGAAGCUAUCUCCAGAUAAAGGGAGAUCUAAGGAAGGAAGCCAACGAAAGACACCAUGUACCAGAAAGCCAAGCAGGAUUUUGACAUUUAUAACCAUAAUCUCUAUAAACAAGAUGAAUUAUGGCUGGGGAUUCAGUUAGUAAAUCAACGAAAAUAAAUCCUGUGCAUAAUUCAAAGAUAACCCAAAUAAGAACAGAAAGUUGUGUGUCAUAGUCACUGGCAUCUAUCCGGUGCUUCUGAACCAUGAACCACAUGACCUGAUUAAAGAGGUUGCUGUGAGUGUGUUGUACUCUUCGUGAACUAAAUUCCAUGAUGACAGAAAACAAACCUGAAAACAAGAGUUAUUUCACAACUCUAGAGCUCCACAGAGUCGGCUGCAAUUGGUUGAGUUGAGGUGAAUUUUCAGUGGACCUGGAUCAGUGUAGAAGGGCAGGAACAUUGGCCCAGCACAGCCCCAGGCUGUGCAGCAUUCAAUGUGACUUGGGACUGGCCUUCCUGGCUCUGCCUUGCCGGUGAAACAUGGAUUGGAAGCUUUGAAUGUUGGAAGAAAUAAACAAGUCUUGGUUGGAGUCCCAGUUUCAAUAACCACAUAUUUUCAAACCUAGACAAAUAUUCUGGUCUCAUCUCCUCAUUUGGAUUACUUCAAUCCUCGGAGAGAACGGAAUAGGACUCUGUAUUUCUUUGGAUGUUCAACACAGUGUUUAACUAAUGGGUGCUAUUUGAAAUAUUAUCGUCUAUUAUCAUUGCUAUUCUAAUAAGGAUGAUACUUGCUAUAAAUAUUAUUGAGAAAAAAAACUUGGAAGUGUUCUUGAGCAACAUAAACAGUACAAAAUGACAGAUAUUAAACACCGUUCUUUUUUGCACGUAAAACUAUACAAAUAAAAAUAUAGAAAAGCUUGCA
rnacentral:lncRNA from 1 species